rnacentral:rRNA from 1 species
CGGACGGGUGAGUAACACGUGGGUAACCUGCCCAUAAGACUGGGAUAACUCCGGGAAACCGGGGCUAAUACCGGAUAACAUUUUGAACUGCAUGGUUAGAAAUUGAAAGGCGGCUUCGGCUGUCACUUAUGGAUGGACCCGCGUCGCAUUAGCUAGUUGGUGAGGUAACGGCUCACCAAGGCAACGAUGCGUAGCCGACCUGAGAGGGUGAUCGGCCACACUGGGACUGAGACACGGCCCAG